CGGCCCCUACGGGACGCAGCAGUAGGGAAUCUUCCACAAUGGGCGAAAGCCUGAUGGAGCAACGCCGCGUGGGUGAAGAAGGUCUUCGGAUCGUAAAACCCUGUUGUUAGAGAAGAAAGUGCGUGAGAGUAACUGUUCACGUUUCGACGGUAUCUAACCAGAAAGCCACGGCUAACUACGUGCCAGCAGCCGCGGUAAUACGUAGGUGGCAGGCGUUAUCCGGAUUUAUUGGGCGUAAAGGGAACGCAGGCGGUCUUUUAAGUCUGAUGUGAAAGUCUUUGGCUUAACCGGAGUAGCGCAUUGGA
rnacentral:rRNA from 1 species